GCUGGCGGCGUGCCUAAUACAUGCAAGUCGAACGAAGAGGUUUUUGUAUUCGUACGGGAGUCUCUUAGUGGCGAACGGGUGAGUAACGCGUUGGUGACCUGCCCCGAAGAGAGGGACAACAGAUCGAAAGAUCUGCUAAUACCUCAUGUGCUUAUUUUGAUUAGAUGCUUUAUAAGUAAAGGUUUCAUAGUCGAAAGGCUGCGGAGCCGCUUUGGGAGGGACCUGCGUCCCAUCAGCUAGUUGGUAGGGUAAUGGCCUACCAAGGCGACGACGGGUAGGGGGCCUGAGAGGGUGGCCCCCCACACUGGUACUGAAACACGGACCAGACACCUACGGGUGGCAGCAGUAGGGAGUAUUGCCCAAUGAGCGAAAGCUUGAGGCAGCAACGCCGCGUGCGGGAUGAAGGCUUUCGGGUCGUAAACCGCUUUUCUGAGGGAAGAGCAAGGACGGUACCUCAGGAAUAAGUCUCGGCUAACUACGUGCCAGCAGCCGCGGUAACACGUAGGAGGCAAGCGUUAUCCGGAUUAACUGGGCGUAAAGCGCGUGUAGGCGGCUUGGUAAGUUGGAUGUGAAAACUCCCGGCUCAACUGGGAGACGUCGUUCAAAACUGCCAGGCUAGAGGACGGUAGAGGGAGGUAGAAUUCCCGGUGUAGUGGUGAAAUGCGU
rnacentral:rRNA from 1 species